AUUGAACGCUGGCGGCGUGCCUAAUACAUGCAAGUCGAGCGAAGCGGGGACGGGGGAGUAACACGUGGGUAAACUGCUAUAAGACUGGGAAAAACUCGGGAAACCGGAACUAAACCGGCUACUUAUAGCAGAAGGGGCGCUGCAUUAGCUGGUUGGUAAGGUAACGGCUUACCAAGGCAACGAUGCAUAGCCGACCUGCGAGGGUGUGCGGCCACUCUGGAACUGAGACACGGUCCAGACUCCUACGUGAGGCAGCAGUAGGGAAUCUUCCGCAAUGGGCGAAAGCCUGACGGAGCACCGCCGCGUGAGUGAUGAAGGUCUUCGGAUCGUAAAACUCUGUUAUUAGGGAAGCGGUACCUACUCAGAAAGCCACGGCUAACUACGUGCCAGCCGCCGCGGUAAUAC
rnacentral:rRNA from 1 species